GCAGACAGCUGGAUUUUCUCUUUCAAAGGCCGCGGGACACACAUUUAAGGCCAAACGAAAAUCUACUGCCGAGGACUGAUGUCGACGGCGAAAAGAAAAUCCACCAAAAUGGAAAAUGGUUUUGUCUACGCUGAAUGUGGCAAAAUAUGUAGGCCGCAGCUGGGACUGGUUAACCACGGGAAAUACUGCAUACCUAAUUAAUCUUCGGACUCGAAGACACGCCUUAUUAUCAGUAUAUUGAACGAAUUCCAACUGCUACAUUAGUUUUACACGUAACGUAAUUCAUUCAAGCGAAGCAAAACAUUGCAUUGACCGGAAGUUAAUAGUUUGAGGCCACCUAGAUCUAGAAUAGACCUACUUUGAGUGGAAGCAGACGUGUUGUUGUUAUUGGUGUUCUAGUGUACAAUAUUUCUUUUUUGGAUAAUUUAAUGUGAUUCAACUAUUGGAUAUUCCUUACAACUUGGAUUAUUGAAAUAGCACGGAUUAUUGGAGCAGAUUGGAUUAUUUAUUACUCAAAGACUUUGCGAUCAAUAUGGCAGAUGAUGUAAAGGUCAUCUGUUUCUGUGGCACACGGUUAAUGAGGGUGUCAUGUGGCUAUCUUGAUACAGUCUCUAAUCUAAUGAGCUUCAAUGUUAAUCAGCUAAGUAAAAAUCAUUUCACCCGUUCCAUGUAAAUAUGCACCUGCAACUCAACUAUACGUUUACCUUGCUUAUUGAGGUAAUUAGUAAAACGGUGGACAGUCGU